rnacentral:rRNA from 1 species
CUACGGGAGGCAGCAGUGAGGAAUAUUGCGCAAUGGGGGAAACCCUGACGCAGCGACGCCGCGUGGAUGAUGAAGGCCUUAGGGUCGUAAAAUCCUGUCAGGUGGGAAGAAGUGGAUAUAGAUUAAUACUCUAUUUCUUUGACGGUACCACCAAAGGAAGCACCGGCUAACUCCGUGCCAGCAGCCGCGGUAAUACGGAGGGUGCAAACGUUGUUCGGAAUUACUGGGCGUAAAGCGCGCGUAGGCGGGUUGUUAAGUCAGAUGUGAAAGUCCAUGGCUCAACUAGGGAAGUGCAUUUGAAACUGGCAGACUUGAGUACUGGAGGGGGUGAUGGAAUUCCCGGUGUAGAGGUGAAAUUCGUAGAUAUCGGGAGGAAUACCGGUGGCGAAGGCGAUCACCUGGCCAGAUACUGACGCUGAGGUGCGAAAGCGUGGGGAGCAAACAGGAUUAGAUACCCGGGUAGUC